rnacentral:lncRNA from 1 species
UAAAAAAGGGCUUCUUUAAAUCAGAAUAGCUGUAGAAAUAGAAAUGUAAGUUACACAUUUGUCGAACAUUCUAAAAAUAAUUUACAAAAGAAGAUAAAACAUUCUCUGAAAAUCUAGAUUUCUUGUUGUUAAACUUUAGGAGCUGUCGAAGAAUACUUGUAAAAUUUUUGUUAUGCCCUAGAGUAAAAUAUUAAUAUCUUUGUAAUGUUAAAGUAUAAGCUAUAGAAAUGUAAGAAAGUUGCUUACAGAUGGGGAAGAAGAAUACGUUUCUGGCAACAGAGGAUGAGAGAGGAAUAUCACCGGAAAAUAGCUCCGGCAACCAAAUACCGGAGACUCUACCGCUGCUCAAGUGACCACCAAUCCACCAUCGUCAACGGCAUAGUGUGCACCUCAAAUUCAAGCCUGAUUCAGAUUAAAAAGAAGAAAAACAAAUAAUUUGUAAAUUAUUAAAAGCUGCAUAAUCACAAACCUAUCUUCCUCUAAUGUGGAAAUUAUGGCUAAAAAAAAAACAGAAAGCUCUUUCUCAAUGAACAAGAAUUGUGCAACUAAGAUAAACUUAUCGAUCUUUGCUGUACCUUUGGAGACAAAGAUCAGAGUUCUCAUGAUUUGUGUCUGAAAGUACGGAUUGGAUUUUUAAAGUUCGGCUUUCUUCG